CUGGCGGGAGGUGGUGGCGGUUGGCGCUGUCCUGGGGCGGAGGAGACUUGGAGGAGGUGGUAGUAAAUCAGACAUGAUGAAGUGGAUGGCACUCCAGAGCAAGUUUUAGCAAGGAUUUGGGCAAGCAGUGAAUAAUGACCUGUGUUAUGAUGAGAUCUAUAUUUCUCUUGUGACCUGAGAAUGUUCCUCUUCCUCUGUCAAUCCCAAAUUUGAUGCCAUAAUCACUGAAAACAGUAGGAGAGAAGCACUCCUUGUGCUCCUUUUGCACAAGGUAAAUGGUAGAAGAGCUCAAGAAAUUUUCUAAAGCAAUAUAAAUUUCAACUCUGGACAAUAAUAAGUUUCAGCAGAGCAUUUAAACAGUCAACAAGUAGUAGAAAUAAAAGAUCUUUACAGAGACCAACAGAGAUGAGUGGCCUUCUAGCCCUUCUAGACAGUUCUGUGCUUGGGGAGUUAUCAGGAGGACCAGCUCUGUCAGCAGGAUCCAGCAGAUUAGCCCUGAGCUAACAUCUGCUGCCAAUCCUCCUCUUUUUGCUGAGGAAGACUGGCCCUGAGCUAACAUCCGUGCCCAUCUUCCUCUACUUUCUAUGUGGGACACCUACCACAGCGUAGCUUGCCAAGCAGUGACCUGUCCGCACCCCGGAUCCGAACUGGUGAACCCCAGGCCACCAAAACGAACAUGCGCACUUAACCGCUGCACCACCAGGCCAGCUCUAAAUGUUUCCAGGUCUCUGAGUCUGCAUCAAUUCCACCAGUUCUGACCCUGGAACUUUAGUGAAUGACCCACCACUCAAGGCCCUCCAGCUGCAUCAGUCUUCUCUUACAAGGUCCAGAUGGAGCCAUCAGGUUUGAUGAUAUCAAGAUUGGUCUUGUUGCUCCAUUCCUUCAGGGAAGUAAGAUUCCACGCGCUCUGAUGCCGCCAUAGAGAAGAUCCAAUAAUCCACCCGUGUGUGCUGGCUGCUGACCAUUCGCUGUUCCACCUGGCUCUUGAAGGGAGAAACACUGCUGUCCACUGAGGCCUCCUGUCCCCUUGAUCUCCAUUUCAUCUUCCAGAUGGGACUGCAGGCAUUCGCUGAUUGUCUAGGCUUCUUCCCUGGUCUGUCUCACCCCCACCUGGAUGUUCUUUGCUCACGGGAAGGGAGGGAGGGGCUGCUGAGGGCUCUGGGUGGCCCCCCAUGGCUGUGUGUUGUCUCCAAAGCCUCCCUCUUCUGGCAGCUGACCACUUCAUGUAUCGCCCUCCGGGGUACUUUGAAAAGUGAACAUGAGUUCAUUCUGAUCCCACAUCUAACACAUUAUCACAUAGAUCCUUCUAUCUUCCUCCCUGGCUUAUCUGUAAACUCCUACCCCAACAGUGAGAAAUCUCGUUCAUCUCAUUUGCCAUUCAUUCAGUUAAUUGCCUAAUUCCAGUGUACAUUUCUAGUAGUAUCAGUAUUGUCACCCUGUCCCCACUGUGAAGCAGCUUUAUCAACUAGAGUACAGUGCUUAUGGACAGUUUCUGUUGCCUUUAGUUUUACAGACUCAACUCAUUUCUGAAGUUACGUUGAUCAACAACUUUCCCCCCAACUGUUUCAUUGAGAUGUUUCAUACAUUUGUAAUACAAUUACUAUAUAUUAUCUCUUUGUCACAUUCUGCAUUCCAUCCUGGGAUUCCACUGAUCUCCUAAGUGAUUUUUUGUUAAUUAGCAUGCAUUAAGGUUUACAGUUUGUGCUGUAAAGUUCCUUGGGUUUGACAAACGCACAGUGUCAUGUAUCCAUAAUUGCAGCAUCAUACAGAAUGAUUUCACCGCUCUAAAGUAUCGGCUGUGCUUCCUCUAUUCGACCCUUUCUCCCUCCCCAAACCAACCACUAGUGUUUUUACUAUUUUUUUUCAAUUUUGCCUUUUCCAAAAUGUCAUAUGAUUGGAGUUAUACAGUAUGUAGCCUUUUCAGACUGGUUUCUUUUACUUAGUAAUAUGCAUUUAAGGUUCAUCCAUGUCUUUUCGUGGCUUAAUAGCUCAUUUCUUUUAAUUGGUGAGUAAUAUUCCAUUAUAGGACACACUAUGGUUUGUUUAUCCAUUUACCUAUUGAAGGGCAUGAUUGCUUCUAGUUUUUAGCAAUUAUAAACAAAGCUGAUAUAAACAUUUGUGUUAAGUUUGUGGACAUAAAUUUUCAAAUCUUUUGAAUAUAAACUUAGGAGUGUGUUUGCUAGAUCAUGUAGUAAGACUAUGCUAAGAUUUGUAAGAAACUGCCAAACUGUCUUCCAAAAUGUCUGUACCAUUUUAUAUCCUCACCAGCAAUGAAUGACAAUUCCUGUUGCCCUUUAUCCCCACCAGUAAUUGGAAUUUUCAGUUUGGGGAUGUUUUACCAUAUUAAUAGGUGUGUAGUAGCAGCUCACUGUUGUUUUCAUUUGCAGUUUCCUGAUGGUAAAUGAUGGCGAGCGUGUCUGCAGAUGUUUAUUGGCCGUCUGUGUAUCUUCUUUGCUGAGCUGUCUGUUCACAGCUUCUUCCUCUUUUUAAAUUGGAUAGUCUUCCUACUGUUGAGUUUUAAGUAUCCUUUUUAUAUUUUGCACAGGAGUUCAUUAACAGAUGGGUGUUUUGCAAGUAUUUUCUCCCAUUCUGUGGCUUUUUAUUCUCUUAACUGUGUCUUCUUUCGAGCAGAAGUUUUACAUUUUAAUGUAAAAUAUGACUCGUUAAUUUUUUCUUUCAUGGUCAUACUUUUGGUGGUGUAUCUAAAAAAACAUCACCAAACCUAAGACCGCCUAGAUUUUCUCCUGCGUUUUCUUCUAGAAGUUUUAUAGUUUUGUGUUUUGCCUUUAGGUCUAUGAUUCAUUUUGAAUUAAUUUUUGUGAAAAGUAUAAAGUCUGUGUCUGGAUUCAUUGUUUUGCAUAUGGAUGUCAGAUUCUUCCACCACCAUUUGUUGAAAUGCUUAUUCUUUCUAUAUUUAAUUGUUUUUGCUCCUUUGUCAAAGCUCAGUUGACUCUAUUUGUGUGGAUCUGUUUCUGGGCUCUCUAUUGAGUUCCAUUGAUCUAUGUGCCUGUAUUUUCACCAAUACCUAGCUGUCUUGGUCACUUUACAGCUUUGUAAUACAAAGCUUUGUCGUAAGUCUUGAAAUUGGGAAGUGUGAGUCCUCCAACUUUGUUCUUCAGUUUUGUGUUGGCUGGUCUAGGUCCUUUGCCUUUCCAUAUAAACUUUAGAAUCAGUAUGUCAAUGUCUACAAAAUAGCUUACUGAGAUUUUGGGAUUGGGCAGAAUCUAUAGAUCAAGUUGGGAAGAAUUAACAUUUUAACAGUCUUGUGGCUUUCAAUCUAUUAACAUAAAAUAUUUAUUUAAAUAUUCUUUGAUUUCUUCAGAGGUUUGUAGUUUUCUUCAUAUAUGUUGUGUACAUAUUUUGUUAGAUUUAUCUCUAAGUAUUUCCUUUUUUUGGAUGCUAUUAUAAAUGAUAUUGUAUUUUUAAUUCCAAAUUCCAAUAGUUCUUUGCUGGUGUAGAGGAAAACAAUUGACUUUUGUAUAUUAAUCUUGUAUUUGUUAUUGACAUUAUCUUUUAGUUCUAAUAGGUUUGUAGUAGUAUCUUAUUGUAUUAAUUUACAUUUCUCUGAUGGCUAAUUAUGUGGAACAUCUCAUGUUUAUUUUCUAUCCAUAUUAUUUUCAGUGAAAUAUCUGUUUAUAUCAUUAGCCUCUUUUCUAAUUAGAUUGUUUGUUUUAUUACUGUUGUGUUUUGGUUUUUUUUUAAAGAUUGGUACCUGAGCUAAUAUCUGUUGCCAGUCUUCUUUUUUUCCUCUUUUUUUCCUUCUUCCUCUUCUCCCCAAAGUCCCCCCGGUACAUAGUUGUAUAUUUUUAGUUGCAAAUCCUUCUGGUUGUGCUAUGUGGGACAUCGCCUCAGCAUGGCUUGAUGAGUGGUGCCAUGUCCACGCCCAUGAUGCCAAACCAGUGAAACCCUGGGCCACCAAAGCGGAGUGCGUGAACUUAACCACUUGGCCACAGGGCCGGCCCCUUAUUACUGUUGAGUUUUGAGAUGUCUUUAUGUAUAUAGUAGAUAAGAGUUAUUUGUUAUAUCUGUGGUUUGCAAAUAUGUUCUCCAAGUCUUUCACUUUUCUUCCCAUGCUUUUAAUGGUCUUUCAAAGAGAAAAAGUUUUUAAUUUUGAUGGAGUCCAAUUUAUUGAUGUUUUUCUGUUAGGAAUCUCAUUCUAUGCACUAUCAUUGAUGUUUCCAUGGUUUCAAAAAUCAAAUAUAUUUAGAUGAUAACAAAAUCCCUGUAGCCCUGUCUGACAACUCCGUUGACUCCUCUUCCUCUCUCACACCCGACGUUCAAUCCAGCAUAAACUGUCAAAGACACACCCACACACACAUAUGUACACGUACACAAAUAUAUACAAAACCAAACCAUCUUUCACGCCCACCACCCUGUCCAAGCCGCUGUGGACUCCCACCUGGACCUGAUGCCCUGCUCACUCUUGCGUUCUCUUCCCGUCCCGCAGCCAGGAUGGUCCUGUUAAAACCCAAGUCAGAUUAGGUCUCACUUUACUCUUUGCUCAGACUCCCCCAAUCCAUGUUUAGCUCACUCACAGCAAAAUUCGAAGCUCUUACCACGGCCUACGAGGCCUUCCACAACCUGUGCCCUCCUCUCCACUCUCUCCUCGUCUCCGGUGCUCCCCUUGCUGACUCCAUUCCAGGGGCAUUAGCUUAAGAGCUGUUCUCUGAAGACUCUGGACAUCCUGCAUCGCAUGCAGCCGUUCCUUCUGUCCAGAGGCUCUUCCCUCGGCUAUCUGCAUCGCUCUCUCCGUCACCUCUUUCAGGCUUUUGCUCAUACGCCACCUUCAGAUGAGGCCCACCCUUCCCACCCAGGUAAAUCGAACUCAUGCUGCUUUCAAGCCCCAUAUCCUGCUUUUGUCUCCAUAGCAUUGUUACCUUCUAACAUACUAGAAAAUUUACUUAUUAUGUUUGUUGCUUAUUUUCUUCCCCCACAAAAGAACAUAGGUUCUGUAUGGGUUUGAAUUUUGCCUGAUGUUUUCUCUUGGUUCUGGCACAUAGAACAGUGCCUUAACAAGGCCUCAGUAAAUACGGUCAGUGAAAAACUGACUGAAUCAACUGCCUGUGACACAGGCGUCUCAUAGUAUUCGGAGUUGAACUUAAUGUUUUCCCAAGAUUUUUAAGAAUUCAUACCUCUAAGUCAGAAAGUUAGGAUGGGCCUCAUCGUGCUGCAGUUACGUCCUCGCCACCCCACGUUUAACUCCACUAGAGCAGAGCUCAAUGGGCAGUGUUUGCAUGAUCCUGCCAAGGCUCCUCUGUCUCUGGCUGGACCCCAUUCAAUUCUUUCUUUACACAACAGCCACAGAGAUUAGAAAUAUCUCUAUAGCUACAUAUCACUGUCACUUUUUUGCUUCGAAUCUUCUCAUGGCUCUCCGUUAUUUUCAAGCUAAUGUCUAAAUGCCACAUGGUGUGUAGGUUGACAUUCCUUGUUUACACUCCAUCCACACCUUGGAUGUCACUGUUCCACUGACUCACACCCUCUCCCUUGCCUGCCUGUCACGUGCUAUUUCUUUGGCCUAAAAUAGCCCUUUGCCACCUGGUGCUUCUCCUCCUUCUUCAGGUCUCAGCUGCAGUCUCGUGUCCCCAGCUGUAGCUAGAUGCCCCUCUUACCUUCUCUGCAACCUUAACACUUACUCCUUAGGAUGUAAUUGUUCCGUCUUCAUCUGUCUUUCCUACUGUAUUGUAAACUCCUCCAGAAAGAAUGUCUUUCACCUCCACAUGCCCACGGCCUAGUGCGGGGUCCAGCGUGGAGUCGUCAUUCACUAAAUGUUUUAGUAAAAUAUUAUGUCAAGAGCAGAGGUCAGUGCCUACUGCCGGCCUCUUUCCUCCAUCUGUAAGAUGACUCUCCUGGCUGCUGAAAUGCUUUAAGAGGAUUACAUUUUCAGCGACUUGGAUGUGGCAGAGACACAGCAUGGACUUUGGGGUCACCUCAGCUUGGGGAGAAUUGGAACUCUUGUGGUUUGGUAUUUGCAGUGGUUGAGACUAGAACCAGACUUACGCAUAUCUAGGAUCUGGCAUUGGUCACUAAUUUGGUGACUUCAGGCAAAUUAGUUGAGAACGUUGUGCCUAUUGUUCAUCUGUCAAAGUGAGGAUAAUAAAUAUACAUACA
rnacentral:lncRNA from 1 species